rnacentral:rRNA from 1 species
AUUGAACGCUGGCGGCAGGCCUAACACAUGCAAGUCGAGCGAGCGGCGGACGGGUGAGUAAUGUCUGGGAAACUGCCUGAUGGCGGGGGAUAACUACUGGAAACGGUAGCUAAUACCGCAUACCAUCAGAUGUGCCCAGAUGGGAGUAGCUAGUAGGUGGGGUAACGGCUCACCUGGGCGACGAUCCCUAGCUGGGCGGAGAGGAGGACCAGCCACACUGGAACGGAGACACGGUCCAGACUCCUACGGUAGGCAGCAGUGGGGAAUAUUGCACAAUGGGCGCAAGCCUGAUGCAGCGAUGCCGCGUGUGUGAAGAAGGCCUUCGGGUUGUAAAGCACUUUCAGCGGGGAGGCGUUACCCGCAGAAGAAGCACCGGCUAACUCCGUGCCAGCAGCCGCGGUAAUAC